AACGAACGCUGGCGGCAUGCCUAACACAUGCAAGUCGAACGAGACCUUCGGGUCUAGUGGCGCACGGGUGCGUAACGCGUGGGAACCUGCCCUUAGGUUCGGAAUAACUCCCCGAAAGGGGUGCUAAUACCGGAUAAUGUCUUCGGACCAAAGAUUUAUCGCCUUUGGAUGGGCCCGCGUUGGAUUAGCUAGUUGGUAGGGUAAAAGCCUACCAAGGCGACGAUCCAUAGCUGGUCUGAGAGGAUGAUCAGCCACACUGGGACUGAGCCACGGCCCAGACUCCUACGGGAGGCAGCAGUAGGGAAUAUUGGACAAUGGGCGAAAGCCUGAUCCAGCAAUGCCGCGUGAGUGAUGAAGGCCUUAGGGUUGUAAAGCUCUUUUACCCGGGAUGAUAAUGACAGUACCGGGAGAAUAAGCUCCGGCUAACUCCGUG
rnacentral:rRNA from 1 species